UACGUAGGCUGUUUUGUAGGUGAGAUGUGAAAUCCCACGGCUCAACCGUGGAACUGCGUUUCAAACCACAAAACUUGAGGGAGACAGGGGUGAGCGGAACUGAUGGUGGAGCGGUGAAAUGCGUUGAUAUCAUCAGGAACACCGGUGGCGAAGGCGGCUCACUGGGUCUCUUCUGACGCUGAGGUACGAAGCUAGGGUAGCGAACG
rnacentral:rRNA from 1 species